GUAAAGUAUAAACCCCUUUACSAGUAUCAAUUGGAGGGCAAGUCUGGUGCCAGCAGCCGCGGUAAUUCCAGCUCCAAUAGCGUAUAUUAAAGUUGUUGCAGUUAAAAAGCUCGUAGUUGGAUUUCUGUUGCAUCAUUAUAUUAUCACUAAGGUAAUAAUAUAAUAUCAACAUCCUCCCUNNUUAUAUCUAAUAUAGAGGGAAUUUUACUUUGAGAAAAUUAGAGUGCUUAAAGCAGGCAACUGCCUUGAAUACUCCAGCAUGGAAUAAUAAGCAAGGACUUUUGUCUUUCUUAUUGGUUCUAGGACAAAAGUAAUGGUUAAUAGGGACAGUUGGGGGCAUUCGUAUUUAACAGUUAGAGGUGAAAUUCUUAGAUUUG
rnacentral:rRNA from 1 species